CAAAAACAAAGGUUCACGACACUCACAGAUGAGACCCAAGUACCUCAUCGGGUUGGGUUUCAAGAAGCAGAAGCAGGUGAAUUUGAGGUCUUUCAUUCUACCACAUCGACUUCCUUUUCCCAGUGAGAGAAGGACUGGGAGAGAAGACAGGAAGGAUUCUUGAAAGAUUCAUCUUCUGCUCUUGUCUUUCAUGGCCAUCCAUUCAUUCAGUUAGUAAUUUAUUCACAAACCAUGUCUACUGUGGGUCUGGUACCAUCCAAAGCCCUGGGAUGUAGAAGUCACCGUGUUCCUGGUGUUACUCGCUUACUCUGCGUCAGGUGUUGGGAGGGGAGAUCGACUGUAUAGAAAACACAGGAUAUCCUAGAAUGAAGACGAUAAUUGUACGGACACAGUAUUGCUGUUGUGGAGAUUAACGGAGCUUGCCUGUGUCAGCUGCUUCCCACCGUGCGGGGGCCCAUCAUGGGAGGCGGGGCCAGUGGUUGAUAAAAGGAUAAUGGUAACAGCAUCGGCUAGCGCUUACCACAGUGCUAAUGUUAGCUCUCCCUGGUGGUGUGCGGACGCCAGUUAUGCUAAGAAUGCCAAAUCUGGAAAUCAGAAGACCCCAGUUCGAGUCCUGGCUAGCUGCUUGAUAUUCACCCAAAAGCCUUGAGCUUCAGUCUCCUGUCUGUAAAAUGGAGCUAAUGAUACCCGCCUCGCAAAGUUGUUGUAAUUCAAGUGUGCACACCGAGGGCCAGGUGGUGGUGUCCACCUGCCUGAGAGCGAGUAGUCAAGAGAGAAGUGCCACUCUGACUUGCUUCUCCCCUGGACUUGGGGCUGACUGCAGCCUCGGCUGGGCAUUGCCCUGUACCACACACGUUUUCUGGACUUUUCCAACUCUUCUUCUCCGUCACAGUAUGCCUGAUGAUGUCCCUCUCUGCGGGGUCCUGUUUCCUGCCAGGUGUCAGCAAGAUGAUCCAGCUAAUGGAUUCUCCCUCUAGGUUGGCAUCUGUACUGCCACAGAGAGGCCGUCUGCAGGUGAUGCCUUUGCCAGAGAAGUGACCCUCAUGGAGCGAGUUUGCAGGCAAUGGGAGGGACCCGGUAGUGAUGUCACUUACAUGCUGUCUGUCAGCAGCCGCCUGUUUACAGAAAAGAAGCUCUUCCAAUAUGCCCAUCCCUCGACUCCAUUCCCCACUCACAAAACUCAGAAAGCUUUUCUUGGAGGACAGAAAAUAUAUCUCUUAGUGAAUUAAUCGAUUCAUCCAACAUUUCCUGAGCUCCUUGCAAAACCAUAAUGAUAAUUGUCACUCAUUAAGCAACUACUAUGUACGGAACUUUGUACUUGGUGCUUUAUGUAUAUUAUUUUAUUCAAUUUCACAACCACCUUACAAGUGAAGAGGUAAGUUUUCUUUUAAUGUGGUAAAAUACACAUAGCAUUUACCAUCUUGACCAUUUAAAAUUUUUUA